AUGCACAGAACAUGCUGUGAUGCUGAGUUUCCUUCCCCACUGAGUGCUGCAGAUUAUACAGUGGGAAGAUUAUCUGCUAGCAAAAGCUCCUGUCUAAAACUGAAGUCCAGAGAUGCACAUUAUCUGAGGAUCUGCCCCAGAAACUGCAAAACAAAGAGCUUCAGCAGAGCCUGCACUGAAAAAUACAGCAGGUAUUCCUCCUGUUCACCAAAAAACCUCAAAGCCAAAAUGAGUACCCACCACUAUGUCUGUCAUAUUUCAGUCAUUCCUGGUGCCAGCAACUCAGAACACGUCUGCAGUGCUGACCUGCACAGUGGUCGUCAUGCUCCAUGCCUGCAUCCUCCUGACACUGAAGUUAUCUGCUGCAGGUAGAACACUUUCCAAUACAGUUCUCACACACAGAAGGAAAAAAAAAAAAAAAAAAAGCCUGCUUCCUGAAAAUGAGCCAAGAUUACAAAGAUACAAUUUUAUAGCCUUUAAUUAAGCAAAGAGCUACAAUCACCAAUGCCUUUCUCCAGUCUCCUUCUUCAGAAUUUAAAAGCAACCUUUUUUUUUUUUACUUUUUUUUUUUUUUUUAAUGCAGGUAAACAUUAUUUGGAAAGGAUUUCAGGAUUUCUACAUCACGGACUCCAUCUAUACCAAUAACUAAUCUGUUGGAAAAAUUCCUUCUCAGAAGAGCCCAGCCUGCCCCAUUUCAAUUGGUGACCAGAGCUCUGUCAAUGGAUUUAUGAUGUGACGUCAGUCCCAAGGCUCAAGUGGCAACUUUUGUAUUUUCAUGCAUUGUUUAAUAAGCUGUUCACUUCCCUUCUCUAACCCAAACUUUAUUAAAAGGGGGAAGAUGCACUCGAGUGUUUCUCCAGAGAAGACAGGCCAUUUAGACUUGAUACUGAAAAGUGAUUCCCCAUGGUAAGGAAAUGAAGAACUGCAAAGUGCUUAGAGAGACAUAUUUAAUACCUUAAACUCUUACUUUGAGUUAACAACAAGCAUGGUCUUGGCUUUAAGGAAAUAAAUCGAUUCUCAGGCUCCCUUAUUUCA
rnacentral:lncRNA from 1 species